GGCUGCAUGGUCUAGUGGUUUGAAUGUUGGACUGGGAUUCUGGAGACCAGGGUUCGAAUCCUGGCUUGGCCA
rnacentral:tRNA from 1 species